UUCUCUCUUCAUUCGAGUCUUCCUCUACAAAGUUCUGGAACCUCGGCGAGCUCUCCUUGAUCUCUACUGGAAUCAUCGCAUCACACCCAUAGACCAAACUGAACGGGGUCUCAUGGGUUCCUGACUGCUCGGUGGUGUGGUAUGCCCAGACUAUACGGGGUACCUCCUCAGCCCAACUUCCCUUGGCUUUCUUGAGCCUCCUCUUCAAUCCUCUCAGCAAC
rnacentral:lncRNA from 1 species